CGAUAGCUCAGUCGGUAGAGCAGAGGACUGAAAAUCCUCGUGUCGGUGGUUCGAUUCCGCCUCG
rnacentral:tRNA from 1 species